rnacentral:rRNA from 1 species
CCUACGGGAGGCAGCAGUGAGGAAUAUUGGUCAAUGGGCGGGAGCCUGAACCAGCCAAGUCGCGUGAGGGAAGACGGUCCUAUGGAUUGUAAACCUCUUUAGGCGGGGAGCAAUGCCGGGCACGCGUGCCCGGAGGGAGAGUACCCGCAGAAUAAGCAUCGGCUAACUCCGUGCCAGCAGCCGCGGUAAUACGGAGGAUGCGAGCGUUAUCCGGAGUUAUUGGGUUUAAAGGGUGCGUAGGCUGAUUUUUAAGUCAGCGGUAAAAUGUCGGGGCUCAACCCGGGCCGGCCGUUGAAACUGGGGAUCGAGAGUGGGCGAGAAGUAGGCGGAAUGCGUGGUGGAGCGGUGAAAUGCAUAGAGAUCACGAAGAACUCCGAUUGCGAAGGCAGCAUACCGGGGCCCGACUGACGCUGAGGCACGAAAGCGUGGGGAUCGAACAGGAUUAGAUACCCCUGUAGUC